rnacentral:rRNA from 1 species
GACGAACGCUGGCGGCGUGCCUAAUACAUGCAAGUCGAACGCUUCUUUCCCCCCGAGUGCUUGCACUCAAUUGGAAAGAGGAGUGGCGGACGGGUGAGUAACACGUGGGUAACCUACCCAUCAGAGGGGGAUAACACUUGGAAACAGGUGCUAAUACCGCAUAACAGUUUAUGCCGCAUGGCAUAAGAGUGAAAGGCGCUUUCGGGUGUCGUUGAUGGAUGGACCCGCGGUGCAUUAGCUAGUUGGUGAGGUAACGGCUCACCAAGGCCACGAUGCAUAGCCGACCUGAGAGGGUGAUCGGCCACACUGGGACUGAGCCACGGCCCAGACUCCUACGGGAGGCAGCAGUAGGGAAUCUUCGGCAAUGGACGAAAGUCUGACCGAGCAGCGCCGCGUGAGUGAAGAAGGUUUUCGGAUCGUAAAACUCUGUUGUUAGAGAAGAACAAGGACGUUAGUAACUGAACGUCCCCUGACGGUAUCUAACCAGAAAGCCACGGCUAACUACGUG